rnacentral:snoRNA from 1 species
AUCCCAUGAUGAGGAUAAUUACAAAGUAAUUCUUUUAAUCUCUCCCAUGCCUUGUACAAGGACUCAUCAUCCAAUUGUUGGAAAGUGGUGAUCUCAUUUCGCAACUU